rnacentral:rRNA from 1 species
AGAGUUUGAUCAUGGCUCAGAACGAACGCUGGCGGCAGGCCUAACACAUGCAAGUCGAACGAGCUGGGACCUUCGGGUCCCGAUGCUAGUGGCGCACGGGUGAGUAACGCGUGGGAACGUACCCUUUAGUACGGGAUAACUCAGGGAAACUUGGGCUAAUACCGUAUGACUCCUUCGGGAGAAAGAUUUAUCGCUAAAGG